AUGUGUAUUGGCUUGCAAGGUGAAUUCUUUAAUGGGAGAGAACCAAACCGUGAAGCUACCGCGGAAGAGUUGAAUAUGCUGCAAUACAAUGCUCAAGCUUGUGAUAUUCUCUUCAACGGAUUGUGCCCUGAAGAAUUCAAAAAAAUCAGCCGUCUUGAGAAUGCAAAGGAAAUUUGGGAUACUUUGAUUGAUAUGCACGAGGGUACCGACUCCGUCAAGGAAUCCAAAUUGGAUGUGCUUCAAAGUCAACUUGACAAGUUCAAAAUGAAGGAUGGUGAAGGUGUCGCUGAAAUGUACUCUAGGCUCGCUCUCAUCACAAAUGAGAUUGCUGGCUUAGGAAGUGAGGAGAUGACCGAUAUAUUCAUCAUCAAGAAGAUCCUAAGAGCCUUGAUGGAAAAUAUGAUACCGUGUGCACAUUGA
rnacentral:rRNA from 1 species